rnacentral:lncRNA from 1 species
GAAGUGUUUGGAUAUUGGAAAAACAAAAACAAAAAAAAAAACCUUUGUUCUGUAAGACAGUAUAGAAAGUUGGGAGAAAGGUCUACUCCAGGAUCAAGUAUUUGAGAUUUCCGCCAAGUCUGCUGCACAAAGGAUCCCUACUUCCAAAGAAGAUAUUUUUGCAUUUAAUGGUUUUUAUCACAUAAGAAAUACAUGCGCACUUUUAAAAAUUAGAAAAUACAGGAGUGACCAGCCUGGGCAAACAUAGCAAGACUACUACAUCUCUACAAAAAAAAAAAAGGGGGGGGGGGGGCAGGUGUUUCUUCUAGAAUGUUCUUGCUAGUGGUGGUGCACACCUGUAGGCUCAGCUACCUGAGAGGCUGAGGCAAGAAAAUCACAUGCGCCCAGAAGUUCAAGGCUGCAGUGAGCUAUGAUAGCACCACUGCAUUCCAGCCUGGGCAACAGAGCAAGACCCUGUCCCCGCCGUCCCCCAAAAAAUACAAGUGAG